rnacentral:rRNA from 1 species
AGCAGCCGCGGUAAUUCCAGCUCCAAUAGCGUAUAUUAAAGUUGUUGCAGUUAAAAAGCUCGUAGUUGAAUUUCGGGAUCAGUCCGCUGGUCGUGCCUCUGGUAUGUACUGGUGUUACUGGUUCCUCCCUUCUGACGAACUGUCAUGUCAUUAAUUUGGUGUGGCGGGGAAUCAGGACUGUUACUUUGAAAAAUUAGAGUGUUUAAAGCAGGCUCGCGCUUGAAUACAUUAGCAUGGAAUAAUGAAAUAGGACGUUCGAUCCUAUUUUGUUGGUUUCUAGGAUUGACGUAAUGAUUAAUAGGGAUAGUUGGGGGCAUUAGUAUUCAAUUGUCAGAGGUGAAAUUCUUGGAUUUAUUGAAGACUAACUACUGCGAAAGCAUUUGCCAAGGAUGUUUUCAUUAAUCAAGAACGAAAGUUAGGGGAUCGAAGACGAUCAGAUACCGUCGUAGUCUUAACCAUAAACUAUGCCGACUAGGGAUCGGAUGAUGUAAUUUUUAAUGACUCAUUC